UAGCAGGUGUUUUUCCUUGUUGCUUCUGGUACUGCUUGGUAUGUACCUGAAAAGACAAGAAAAUAUUUUGUGUCAGAAUGGGGGUAAAGAAAAAAAUAAGAAUCAAUAACACUAAAUCUAAAGGCGAUCAAAGCUCCCCGGCAACGGCGCCAAAUUUGAUACCACUCAAAUUACCCUAAGGAGUGAAUUACUCUCUCAAAUAAGAGGUUCAAUUGUAGUUCUUAGGGAUUGAAUCCACAAGGAGCUAGGGAACCUAUUAAAUCUAGUAAU
rnacentral:lncRNA from 1 species